UGGGGAAUAUUGGACAAUGGGGGCAACCCUGAUCCAGCAAUGCCGCGUGUGUGAAGAAGGUCUUCGGAUUGUAAAGCACUUUCGACGGGGACGAUGAUGACGGUACCCGUAGAAGAAGCCCCGGCUAACUUCGUGCCAGCAGCCGUGGUAAUACGAAGGGGGCUAGCGUUGCUCGGAAUGACUGGGUGUAAAGGGCGUGUAGGCGGUUUACACAGUCAGAUGUGAAAUCCCCGGGCUUAACCUGGGAGCUGCAUUUGAUACGUGUAGACUAGAGUGUGAGAGAGGGUUGUGGAAUUCCCAGUGUAGAGGUGAAAUUCGUAGAUAUUGGGAAGAACACCGGUGGCGAAGGCGGCAACCUGGCUCAUGACUGACGCUGAGGCGCGAAAGCGUGGGGAGCAAACAGGAUUAGAUACCCUGGUAGUCCACGCCUGUAAACGAUGUGUGCUAGAUGUUGGGUAAC
rnacentral:rRNA from 1 species